rnacentral:rRNA from 1 species
UUCGCCCUUAGAGUUUGAUCCUGGCUCAGGACGAACGCUGGCGGCGUGCCUAACACAUGCAAGUCGAGCGGGGACAUGGAGGAGCUUGCUCCGAAGUGUUCCAGCGGCGGACGGGUGAGUAACGCGUGAGCAAUCUGUCCCGAACAGGGGGAUAACAACUGGAAACAGUUGCUAAUACCGCAUGAGACCACAAUGUCGCAUGGCAAAGGGGUCAAAGGAGAAAUCCGGUUCGGGGUGAGCUCGCGUCUGAUUAGCUAGUUGGUGAGGUAACGGCCCACCAAGGCGACGAUCAGUAGCCGACCUGAGAGGGUGAUCGGCCACAUUGGAACUGAGACACGGUCCAAACUCCUACGGGAGGCAGCAGUGGGGAAUAUUGGGCAAUGGGCGAAAGCCUGACCCAGCAACGCCGCGUGAGGGAAGAAGGUUUUCGGAUUGUAAACCUCUGUCCUUGGUGACGAAGGAAGUGACGGUAGCCAAGGAGGAAGCCCCGGCUAACUACGUGCCAGCAGCCGCGGUAAUACGUAGGGGGCGAGCGUUGUCCGGAAUGACUGGGCGUAAAGGGCGCGUAGGCGGCCUGAUAAGUUAGAGGUGAAAGUCCAGCUUUCAAGGUUGGAAUUGCCUUUAAUACUGUCGGGCUUGAGUGCGGAAGAGGUAAGUGGAAUUCCCAGUGUAGCGGUGAAAUGCGUAGAGAUUGGGAGGAACACCAGUGGCGAAGGCGACUUACUGGGCCGUAACUGACGCUGAGGCGCGAAAGCGUGGGGAGCGAACAGGAUUAGAUACCCUGGUAGUCCACGCGGUAAACGAUGAAUGCUAGGUGUAGGGGGUAUCGACCCCUCCUGUGCCGGAGUAAACACAAUAAGCAUUCCGCCUGGGGAGUACGGCCGCAAGGUUGAAACUCAAAGGAAUUGACGGGGGCCCGCACAAGCAGCGGAGCAUGUGGUUUAAUUCGACGCAACGCGAAGAACCUUACCAGGUCUUGACAUCCUCUGACACUCCUAGAGAUAGGACGUUCCCCUUCGGGGGACAGAGUGACAGGUGGUGCAUGGUUGUCGUCAGCUCGUGUCGUGAGAUGUUGGGUUAAGUCCCGCAACGAGCGCAACCCUCGUUCUAUGUUGCCAGCGGGUUAUGCCGGGGACUCAUAGGAGACUGCCGGGGUCAACUCGGAGGAAGGUGGGGAUGACGUCAAAUCAUCAUGCCCCUUAUGACCAGGGCUACACACGUGCUACAAUGGCGUAAACAAAGGGAAGCAGAGCCGUGAGGCCGAGCAAAUCUCAAAAAUAACGUCUCAGUUCGGAUUGUAGUCUGCAACUCGACUACAUGAAGCUGGAAUCGCUAGUAAUCGCGAAUCAGAAUGUCGCGGCGAAUACGUUCCCGGGUCUUGUACACACAGGCCGUCA